AGAUUCCCUUCUCUGGAGUUUCAUAGUGAGCCCAGGAUGUGGAUCACAUUUUACUGAAUCAGUGAAAAUGAAAAAGGAAGGUGAGAUACUGGAUGGAGCCUCUGGCUGCUGCGUUCCAAAAUACAGGGUGACAGGUAAUUUGGAAGGACUAACAGAUAGGAGUCAGGCCUGGCUGGAAGAUAUUCUGUAUGAACAAGAUUCUUUGAGGAAAACCAAUCAAGAACAGAAACUUCAUUAAAAUUACAGGCUUUUUUCAUCAGUCCCCUUCACAGCUGUCUUACUCAAAGGGUACGAGAAUGAUAGCUGACCUUCUGGAUA